AGUACCCAUUCCUCCUAUUUCUAA
rnacentral:siRNA from 1 species